rnacentral:lncRNA from 10 species
UGAAAAGCUAGCCAGAAGAGACAAGCUGAAACUAAAUCAAAAGUGUGAUUUAAAAGGAGUAUCCAGAUGCAUGAAUAUGAGAGCACCCAGGUGAAGUCAGCAGUAAUACAACAGAUUUAAUGCAGGCUGCUUUAAUCAGAUAUUUUAGUCAUAAGUGGAUUCUGCCAAUAAGGAAUGGAAAUAAAAAUAAAAACUCAAGACUGGAGGCCUAAAUUUGGUAGGUAUCCACCUAAAUAGAAAGCCUGAAGCAACAACAUUGAAUAUUCAUAUAAGGGUGAGAUGCUUGGGCAGACUCACAGUAGGAGCAGAAUUAGGCAGAACAAAUACAAAGGAACAAUGGGACCAAAUCAUCUAAAAAUGUGAAAAAAAAGAAAAAAAAUCCCUGGUAUUUAAAAAUAUAUAUAUUAAAGAACUAUGAGUGGUUGAAUGUUGCAAGGGGAGGAGCAAUGAAAGAAGAGAAAUAGAAAAGCCAGAGAAGAGUGGUGGAAAUGAGGAUCUGGAGAAUGUGGGCAAGAACAAGAUUCAGAUCAGCAGGACAGGAAUUAUAUGUAGAAGCUACCAUUUCACUCUCUGCUCCUGAGUUUGACUGUUUUAGAUAUGUCAUGG